UACAAAGGGUGCAAACGUUGCUCGGAAUCAUUGGGCGUAAAGCGCACGUAGGCGGUCUAUUAUGUCGGAUGUGAAAGCCCUUGGCUCAACUGAGGAAGUGCAUCCGAAACUGGCAGGCUAGAGUACUAAAGAGGAUCGCGGAAUUCCCGGUGUAGAGGUGAAAUUCGUAGAUAUCAGGAGGAACACCGAUGGCGAAGGCGGCGAUCUGGAUAGAUACUGACGCUGAGGUGCGAAAGCGUGGGGAGCAAACAGG
rnacentral:rRNA from 1 species